rnacentral:rRNA from 1 species
AAACAUCCGCGUUAGUUUGCCGCCUGGGAAGUACGUACGCAAGUAUGAAACUUAAAGGAAUUGGCGGGGGAGCACCAGGGGGUGCGUAAUUAUUUGGGGGCGGCCUCCUUAACGGGUUUCCUGCGGUUUUGCACUGGCCCAUGCUCUUCACCUAAGGGCUCCCCCGAAUACUCCGCUCGUACUAUCACCAAAAAAACAAAACUCCUCCCCCAGAUGUAACUAUCCCCUUCCAUUGGAUACCACACCGGAUGCCCCUCUUCGUAUUCAUUAUCCUUUGAAGAGCCAAACCUCGGCACCGUCCAUCAAAACUCUCGUCUUCCCCUCCCUAUAACUCUAGAUUCUCUUUAAUUAGUUUUUGUUUUUUCCCCACACUUACGGAAGCUCUUCUGAUGCUUCUUUCCGUCCUCAUCACAUCUUUGUGUUUUUGGUUUUUGCGAGGCCGCUUAUAAU